CAGCAGUUAACAGACGCGAGCCGCUGCAGGCCGAAACGGACCUUAUAUACGGACGCGUGCGCAGCAGUGACCUCCUUGGCUUGCGAAGAGAGAAUUACACAUGCGCAGUGCCAAAACCGUAACCCAAACUCGGGGUACAGGUGGUUGAGCAAAGCUUAUGCCACUGGAGGGCGCCUCUAGCUCUGACUGGAGAAGAGAAGGUGAACAAAAAGGAGCCGCGCAGUAAGAGGGUUCCGUUAAGAUGAUUCAGAUCUUCAAUGCUCCCAGAUUCUGGGCCAACGUGAAGGGCCCUCCCCAAAUGUCAUUUCACAGAUGGACACACUGAGGUCCAGAGCCUGGAAUGGUUCAUGCUCAGCCCCGCCUCUGAGCACCAUCAAGAUGUAAAGAGGCCAUUUUAUAGAUAAAAACUCAAUGAAUCCGCUUUAUUUUGGCAA